rnacentral:rRNA from 1 species
GAUGAACGCUGGCGGCGUGCCUAAUACAUGCAAGUCGAGCGAACAGACGAGGAGCUUGCUCCUCUGACGUUAGCGGCGGACGGGUGAGUAACACGUGGAUAACCUACCUAUAAGACUGGGAUAACUUCGGGAAACCGGAGCUAAUACCGGAUAAUAUAUUGAACCGCAUGGUUCAAUAGUGAAAGACGGUUUUGCUGUCACUUAUAGAUGGAUCCGCGCCGCAUUAGCUAGUUGGUAAGGUAACGGCUUACCAAGGCAACGAUGCGUAGCCGACCUGAGAGACGGAUCGGCCACACUAGAACUGAGACACGGUCCAGACUCCUACGAGAGGCAGCAGUAGGGAAUCUUCCGCAAUGGGCGAGAGCUUGACGGAGCAACGCCGCGUGAGUGAUGAAGGUCUUCGGAUCGUAAAACUCUGUUAUUAGGGAAGAACAAAUGUGUAAGUAACUAUGCACGUCUUGACGGUACCUAAUCAGAAAGCCACGGCUAACUACGUG